AUUGAACGCUAGCGGGAUGCUUUACACAUGCAAGUCGAACGGCAGCGCGGUACUUCGGUCUGGCGGCGAGUGGCGAACGGGUGAGUAAUGUAUCGGAACGUGCCCAGUAGCGGGGGAUAACUACGCGAAAGCGUGGCUAAUACCGCAUACGCCUACGGGGAAAGGGGGGAGUCUUCGGACCUCUCACUAUUGGAGCGGCCGAUAUCGGAUUAGUCUAGUUGGUGGGUAAGGCCUACCAAGGCGACG
rnacentral:rRNA from 1 species